UACGUAGGGGGCAAGCGUUGUCCGGAUUUAUUGGGCGUAAAGAGCGUGUAGGCGGCCAGGUAGGUCUGGUGUGAAAACUCGAGGCUUAACCUCGAGAUGUCAUCGGAAACCAUCUGGCUAGAGUCCGGAAGAGGAGAGUGGAAUUCCUGGUGUAGCGGUGAAAUGCGCAGAUAUCAGGAAGAACACCAAUGGCGAAAGCAGCUCUCUGGGACGGUACUGACGCUGAGACGCGAAAGCGUGGGGGAGCGAACAGG
rnacentral:rRNA from 1 species